rnacentral:rRNA from 1 species
UACGUAGGAGGCAAGCGUUGUCCGGAAUUACUGGGCGUAAAGCGCGUGUAGGUGGUGGGACAAGUCUGCUGUGAAAGCGCCUGGCUUAACCGGGCGAGGUCGGCGGAAACUGCCUCACUUGAGGACGGUAGAGGGGGGUGGAAUUCCCGGUGUAGUGGUGAAAUGCGUAGAGAUCGGGAGGAACACCUGUGGCGAAGGCGGCCCCCUGGGCCGGCCCUGACACUGAGACGCGAAAGCCAGGGGAGCAAACGGG